rnacentral:rRNA from 1 species
UGGGGAAUAUUGCACAAUGGGCGAAAGCCUGAUGCAGCGACGCCGCGUGAGGGAUGACGGCCUUCGGGUUGUAAACCUCUUUCAGCAGGGACGAAGCGCAAGUGACGGUACCUGCAGAAGAAGCACCGGCUAACUACGUGCCAGCAGCCGCGGUAAUACGUAGGGUGCAAGCGUUGUCCGGAAUUACUGGGCGUAAAGAGUUCGUAGGCGGUUUGUCGCGUCGUUUGUGAAAACCAGCAGCUCAACUGCUGGCUUGCAGGCGAUACGGGAAGACUUGAGUACUGCAGGGGAGACUGGAAUUCCUGGUGUAGCGGUGAAAUGCGCAGAUAUCAGGAGGAACACCGGUGGCGAAGGCGGGUCUCUGGGCAGUAACUGACGCUGAGGAACGAAAGCGUGGGUAGCGAACAGG